GCUGAUAUGGCUCAGUUGGUAGAGCGCACCCUUGGUAAGGGUGAGGCCCCCAGUUCGACUCUGGGUAUCAGCACCA
rnacentral:tRNA from 3 species